AUUGAACGCUGGCGGCAGGCUUAACACAUGCAAGUCGAGCGGAGUGAUGGUGCUUGCACUAUCACUUAGCGGCGGACGGGUGAGUAAUGCUUAGGAAUCUGCCUAUUAGUGGGGGACAACAUCUCGAAAGGGAUGCUAAUACCGCAUACGUCCUACGGGAGAAAGCAGGGGAUCUUUAUGACCUUGCGCUAAUAGAUGAGCCUAAGUCGGAUUAGCUAGUUGGUGGGGUAAAGGCCUACCAAGGCGACGAUCUGUAGCGGGUCUGAGAGGAUGAUCCGCCACACUGGGACUGAGACACGGCCCAGACUCCUACGGGAGGCAGCAGUGGGGAAUAUUGGACAAUGGGGGGAACCCUGAUCCAGCCAUGCCGCGUGUGUGAAGAAGGCCUUAUGGUUGUAAAGCACUUUAAGCGAGGAGGAGGCUCUUUUGGUUAAUACCCAAGAUGAGUGGACGUUACUCGCAGAAUAAGCACCGGCUAACUCUGUGCCAGCCGCCGCCGUAA
rnacentral:rRNA from 1 species